GCUGGAAUCAAAAUAAGCAUCAGUAGAAGGAUUCACGAUAAAUUGGAGAGGAAGUACUCCUCAAUUGUAAAGAGAAGGGACAGGAGUGCCAACACGAGCAGGUUCAUACGUAUGAGACUGGGAAGGAGAAGGAGUUCUCAUCUGACAGCAUCUAUUUUCUCUUUAAGAGGCGAAGCCCAUCUAAAUGGGAGAGAAAAGGGGAAAGGGCUUGAAGAGAGAGAAAAGUGUUUGGAAUAGUUGUGGAGAUUGGCAAAGUGAACCGGCCUGAGAAAUUAUCAUUUCCAUAAAUACUGAGAGCCGUUUGAGAUUGGUGCUCAGGAACAUCUAGAGAAUGCAAUCUGCCCUGUUCUGUGACUUCCUGAAUGAAGGAAUGAGCACUUCUGGGGUGACUGCAUGCUCCACACUCACUUGGGUAUGUAAGUGCUAAUAGAUUUUAAAGUCACUUUACCGCUAGGUCACAUUCCCUUUACUUGGACUCCUGAAGUCUCUUGAUGCAGAAAGCCAACCACUAUGGAAAGCCAUCCUGGACGAUACUAAGGAUAGCAGUAACAUUUAUGGCUUAUUAUGUGCUGGGUCCUGAGCUAGGCACCAUACGUACAUAUAUGGUCUAUAUGUUAUACAUACACAGACAUACGUACAUACAUAUAUGGUGAAUAUAUACACACGCACACACAUAUCAUGCACAUAUAUAUAACUUUUUCCCAUGCAAUUAUUUCCACAAACCUAUGAGGGGUUUAAACUACCUUUCCCAUUUUAAAGACAGGAGAACGGGGACUCAGCGGGUUCCUUACCUCCAGCCCAGAGCCAUGAGCCCAGGCUGUGCCCACCCCAGGAGAGUUGUGGACCUGCCUGACCCGAGUGAACUAGGAAAGACCAUGGAGGAAACGGAGAAGGAAUCAACUUGGCCGACACCUUGGUUUCAGACUUCCAGCCUCCAGAACUAUGAGAUGUUUGACGCACAGCCUGUGGUCCUUUGUUACGGCAGCCCUAGCAAACAAACACACUGAGGAGGAAGAAGAAACGUCUAUUGGAGGUGACUCCGGAAGGCAGCCUUUGAGAGAAGUACAUGAACUACUUAAAACCUGAGUCUGACACAAGGGCCACAUACUGCAUGAUGCUGUUCGUAUGAAGCCUCCCCAACAGGCACAUAUACAGACAGAAGGUGGAUUGCCUAGGUCAGCUGAAGCGGGGGAGGGAGGAAUGACAAUGAGUAUGGGGUUUCUU
rnacentral:lncRNA from 1 species